rnacentral:rRNA from 1 species
AUUGAACGCUAGCGGGAUGCUUUACACAUGCAAGUCGAACGAGUGGCGGACGGGUGAGUAAUAUAUCGGAACGUGCCCAGUAGCGGGGGAUAACUACCCGAAAGAGUGGCUAAUACCGCACACAACUGGAGCGGCCGAUAUCGGAUUAGCGAGUUGGUGGGGUAAAGGGUCACCAAGGCAACGAUCCGUAGCUGGUUUGAGAGGACGACCAGCCACACUGGGACUAAGACACGGCCCAGACUCCUACGGGACGCAGCAGGGGGGAAUUUUGGACAAUGGGGGAAACCCUGAUCCAGCCAUCCCGCGUGUAUGAGAAGGCCUUCGGGGUGUAAAGUACUUUUGGCAGAGAAGCGGUAUCUGCAGAAUGAGCACCGGCUAACUACGUACCAGCAGCCGCGAUAAUAC